GAAACUUGGAAUAUCCUCGGGUAUAUUACUGAACCCACAUGUAAGAGAUGCUUAGGUUUCAUGUGAAUGUCCCUGUAGCACAUCUGUACAGUGCAGUAUGAGCAUUGAUAACAUUUUGGGGUUUAUAUUUUAUUUACAAUGGCCGCAAAUGUAGCUCAAGGACCAUUCUCACCGAAGAAAUCUUAUCUUCAGCUAAACAAAUCUGUGGAGUUGCAGUAUUAUUUUGCUUUGAGAUCUGUUUGUUCGCAGUGUAUUACAGAGUGAGGAGCUUUUGGAUCUACUCGCCUAUUAUAUUUGAUUUCCUAGGUUUCCGGCCUCUGAGGUGCAUAUAUCUCUGGUAGGAAGUUUUCACAUGAAAGUCUCAUGAAUUACAGAGGAUUUUGAUGCGCCCUCGCUAGUUCAGUACUGAACAGUUUUAGGACUGCGCCGUGCUUCCUCUGCAACUGGCGGAAGGCACUUUCUAUUCUUAUGAAAGAUGGGGAAAUCGUUUGUAUUCAUUUUAGCAGGUGUUAGUAUUUUAUCAAUCUUUGUGAAAUAGGAAAAUAGGUGUUGUUUAAUUACCUUUCUUUAAGAUUUAGAGAGUUGAAUUAGGCCUUUUUACUCGUUGGCCUUUUCUGGCUGUUAAUAGGAAGCCAGUAUGGUGGCAAUAGGAGAAGGCUUGCAGUCUGUAAAUAUUCGCUUUUCUGUUGUAAACGGAUUUAAGAUUUGUUGUUGCGUGAACGAUUAUCUUAUGCUGUUCGUUUAUUA